rnacentral:rRNA from 1 species
CCUACGGGUGGCAGCAGUGGGGAAUAUUGGGCAAGGGAGGCAACUCUGACCCAGCAACGCCGCGUGAAUGAUGAAGGUCUUCGGAUUGUAAAGUUCUUUUCUAAGGGAAGAAGAAAGUGACGGUAACGUAGGAAUAAGCCUCGGCUAACUACGGGCCAGCAGCCGCGGUAAUACGUAGGAGGCAAGCGUUAUACGGAAUGACUGGGCGUAAAGGGUGCGUAGGUGGUUUGACAAGUUAGUAGCGCAACUCCGGAGCUCAACUUCGGAACUACUACUAAAACUGUUGGUCUUGAGUGCAGGAGGGGCAAUCGGCAUUCCUCGUGUAGCGGUGUAAUUCGUAGAUAUUAGGAGGAACACCAGUGGCGCAGGCGGCUUUCUAGACUGUACCUGACACUGAGGCACGAACGCGUGGGGAGCAAACAGGAUUAGAUACCCCUGUAGUC